AAUAUUCAAGGACAGAUUGGA
rnacentral:snRNA from 1 species